ACGAAGGGUGCAAGCGUUAAUCGGAAUUACUGGGCGUAAAGGGUGCGUAGGCGGUUCGUUAAGUCUGUCGUGAAAUCCCCGGGCUCAACCUGGGAAUGGCGAUGGAUACUGGCGAGCUAGAGUGUGUCAGAGGAUGGUGGAAUUCCCGGUGUAGCGGUGAAAUGCGUAGAGAUCGGGAGGAACAUCAGUGGCGAAAGCGGCUCACUGGACCGCAACUGACGCUGAGGCGCGAAAGCUAGGGGAGCAAACAGGA
rnacentral:rRNA from 1 species